CAGACUAGCACCCAGGGCUGCAGGGCACUCUUCCUACAAACUCACAUAAUCCAAAUCGUCAACUCCCAGAAAAAUACUGGUUGAAGACUAUGUUAUGCCAGGCACAGUUCUGGGCACCAGAGACAAUGAUGUGGGGCAGAAAAGACAAGGCCCCUCCCCAUGAAGACACUGUGUUUUACUGCAUGGAUCAAAGAGGGGACUUCUGUGAAAGGUCUGCUCAACCCAAAGGGGGUUAGAACCACGGUACAACAGAAGGGGAAAUGAAGAGAAGAAAAAGAGGCACUCAGUCAGGUCGGCAUGGAUCAGCACAGAACCGUGGAGACCUGAGCAUGAAGUCUGGAUUGAUUAAAGAACAAAACAAAACAAAAACAAAGACCAAAA